rnacentral:lncRNA from 1 species
NNNNNNNNNNNNNNNNNNNNNNNNNNNNNNNUCGCACGGUGGAGAGGGGAUACGCUCUCCAGUUUUACAUCAACAAGCAAGGAGGAGCACGUUCGUCGAUUCUAUGCCAAGAGGCCAUUCGCCUAUGGGACUUCUGCAUCGCCCACUCAAUCCAUCUCACGGCAUCGUUCCUCCCUGGAGUCCAGAACACUUUAGCGGACCGACUCAGCAGGUCCUUUCAGACGCACGAGUGGUCUAUUCGUCCGGACAUCAUCUAUUCCGUUUUCCAGAGGUGGGGGUUUCCCCAGGUAGACCUGUUUGCAUCUCGAGCCAACAGGAAGUGCCACGUGUUCUGCUCCCUACAAGGGCGAGCUCCGGGCUCUCUAUCGGAUGCGUUUCUCCUCCCCUGGAAAGACCACCUGUUUUACGCCUUCCCUCCAUUUCCACUGGUCCACAAGGUGCUGCUCAAACUACUCAGAGACCAGGCUCGAGUAAUUCUAGUCGCUCCAGCGUGGCCGAGACAACACUGGUACACCACACUGUUGGAGCUCUCGGUUCAGACACCGAUCCCGCUUCCGUGUCCAGAUCUCAUCUCUCAGGACCAUGGCCGACUACGUCACCCCGACCUACAAUCACUCCACCUCACGGCGUGGUUGCUCCAUGGUUCACCCAGGCAGAGCGGCAAUGCUCGCACUCUGUCCAACAGAUUCUGCUGAGCAGUAGGAAGCCUUCAACACGGACCACGUACUUGGCCAAGUGGAAGCGGUUCUCCUGCUGGUGCGAACAACGAGCCAAGUCCCCGUUACAGGCACCUAUUCCUCUCAUAUUGGAAUAUCUCCUCUCCCUAAAACAGCAGGGUCUGGCGAUAUCUUCAAUUAGAGUUCACCUGGCCGCUAUAUCGGCCUUUCACCCAGGGGAACCCGCGUCCUCGGUAUUCUCUAACCCGAUGGUCGUUAGAUUCCUCAAGGGCUUAGACCGGAUGUACCCGCAACAACGUCAACCCGUUCCGACGUGGGAUCUCAACCUGGUUCUCUCCAAGCUCACAGGGCCUCCAUUCGAGCCAAUGGCCACCUGUUCACUUCUCUACCUCUCCUGGAAGACAGCCUUCCUCGUAGCCAUCACCUCAGCAAGGCGCGUUUCUGAAAUCAGGGCGCUUACAUCCAAGCCCCCUUACACGGUGUUCCAUAAGGACAAGGUGCAGCUUCGUCCGCAUCCUGCCUUUCUUCCUAAGGUAGUCUCUCCGUUUCACAUGAAUCAGGAUAUUUUUCUCCCAGUCUUCCAUCCGAAACCACAUGCCACUCGCCAAGACCAGCGUUUGCAUUCUUUGGACGUUUGCAGGGCUCUGGCUUUCUAUAUCGACCGCACAAAGCACUUUAGAAAGACGACGCAACUCUUCGUUGCAGUGGCCGACCGGAUGAAAGGCUUACCGGUCUCCUCACAACGCCUAUCCUCCUGGAUCACGUCUUGCAUCCGGACUUGCUAUGACCUGGCAGGUGUCUCAACACCGCACCUCACUGCUCACUCCACGAGGGCCCAAGUUUCCUCGACUGCCUUCCUGGCUCAGGUUCCGAUCCAGGACAUUUGUAGAGCCGCAGUUUGGUCAUCAGUCCACACAUUUGCAGCUCACUACGCACUGGUACAGCAGUCCAGGGACGAUGCUGCAUUCGGAUCAGCAGUUUUGCACACAGCAAUGUCUCACUCCGACCCCUCCACCUAGGUAAGGCUUGGGAGUCACCUGAUUGGAAUCGAUAUGAGCAAGCACUCGAAGAAGAAAAGACGGUUACUCACCGUUGUAACUGUUGUUCUUCGAGAUGUGUUGCUCAUAUCCAUUCCAAACCCGCCCCCCUUCCCCACUGUCGAGUAGCCGG